GUGACCUGUGCUUGAUGAGAGCCUGGCCACCGCUAGGCUGCCAGAGCAUCGAGGUCUUGAGGGUAAACGCCACAGCUGAGAAAAUAUUGAGGAGGCUCGCUCCCUCCAGGGAAGAGUGGCUUCCUACGGUCUUCACCAGAAUUGAUUACACACAGCUCCAUGGACCAUUAGGUGCAGUUGACCUCCGCUGAUUUGCAACACCAGGUGCUGUGAUCCCUGUGCCAGGCCGGUGGAGAACAGAAGUCCUUCCUGGUUCCAGGUCCUGAAGUGGAAGUGUACGUCCAGCCCCCACACCCCAAGAGGACCCAGGGGUAGAGACAGUGCCUAGAGAGCCCCAGGUCAGCAGAAAGCUGUCAGACAGACUCUGAUGCAGAGGAGAGCAGGGGGGAUGAAGAGGAGUUAAGGAGUAGCAGCUGUGCCAGUAAAGGAGUGACAGAAGAGACUGAACAAGCAAGUAAUAAGGGAAAGGAAGAGAAUGGACAGAUUCGAAGUGUGGAAGAUGAGGUUUGGAAAGGGAAGCUACUGUUCGCAGACUAGCCAGCUGAUGUGGUGAGGAGACAGAACUGUAUAAAAGCAUGCACCCAGACUCAGAAGGCAAGCCAUUCCCCAACUAUUUACAGUAAGUCAGCAAGCAGAAGAGAAAAGUUGCAGAGAGACUGGCUUAUUUAUAGUAAGAGUGUAAAGGCAUUAUAUUGCAUUCCAUGUGUUCUUUUUUUCUCACGAGCAAAGUAAACCUUCACCCAGUUCUCUGAGUAGUAAGGAUGGCUAUACGAUAUCAUCAGUGAAAUGGCAGAGAAUGUAUGACACACUACCAGAGCAUGAGGAUGGUGUCUCACAAGAACUGUUACUGGAAAUGAAAAAAUAUCCAGCAUACCGUAACAACAGCUACAGGUAUAGACAGUCAGCUGCAGAAACAAAUCCAGUCCGAAAUGUAUAAAAACAGAGCACUUCUAGAAAGGAUUUUGGAUGACACUGUACAUCGCAUCUAGGAAUCUACCAUUCGGACGGAAAUCACUCGAUCUUGAUGAUGUGCAUCAUGGACAUUACCUAGGCUUCCUUGAACUGUCGUCAAAUUAUGACCCGCUAUUACGUGAGCACUUACAGAAAGUCACGGACAAAAGGAAAGGAGCACGACAGUCUUAUUACCUCAGAUCUGAGAGCCACAACGAGUUCAUAGGAAUAUGUGGUCAAAGGGUUUUUGAAAACAGUACUUUAUGAAAGAGAAGAUGUAAUCUAUUACUCGGUUGUAUGUGAUGCAACUCCAGACAUUUCCCAUACUGAGCUAAAUGUAUUCUUGAUGAGAUAUGUACACAAAGAUAAAGUUUAGGAAACAGGUGACUGGGAAUUAAUUGAACGUUUUCUUGAAUUUAAAGACUUUGCUAGAAAGACAGGCAGUGAAAUUUCCGAAGUGAUUUGAGUGCAUUGGAAGGGCAUGGUAUUGACAUAGCAGAUUGCCGUGGUCAAGGCUAUGAUAAAUGGUACAAAUAUGUCAGGGAAAGUGAAGGGAGUUCAGGCACACACACAGCAAAAUAAUCCACUGGCCACAUACUCACCGUGUGCCUCCCAUACUCUUAUUCUUGUGGGUGUACAUGUAGCUCAGCCGUGCCCAGGAGUAUCAACCUUAUUUUGUCUGUGUGAAUCGUCUGUACAAUCUGUUCAAUUCCAGCCCAGAGCGAUGGGCCAUUCUCAAAGAAAAUACUGGCUGCUGUCUUAACCGCCUUUCAGACACACGAUGGAGUGCGUGUAUUGCUGCGGUCCGACCAGUGGCAACUCAUUUACUGUCUAUCAUCAAGGCCCUAGACAUGCUUCUUGCUAGCUGCAGCCUGACAAACAAGAAGCCAAAUCUGAGGCAAAAGGUCUGAAAAGCUACUUAAUGUCUUUCAAGGCAAUCUUCCUGCUCACUUUCUGGGUAAGAGUUUUGCAGUGUAUUGAGUAUAGAAGCCUAAUUCUGCAGUCAGGAAAUAUUUCAGUGGACACUGAAGCAGCUCACAUUAAGGCACUACAGGAAGAAAUACAGGCUCUGCAUAAUCAAUGGUGACGCUCUUUUGGCAGAAGCCACCACGGUGGCAAAUGAACGGGGCGGAACUGCUCAGUUUCACAGCUAACAGAGGAGCCGACAGAAAACAAAUAAAAUGUUUCUCUGGCGAUACUGAAGAUGACAAAGGAAAAUGAACAGAAGUCAGACACUGGAUUUCGCAACACAGUGCUUGCGGUUCCACGCGAUUGCAGCUAUACGCAAGGAGAUUUCACCAAACCCAAAUGUGUGUGUAUCUUGCCACAAAUUGUGAAACAAGUACUCCACAAAGAUCUCACAGAUGGAUUUGAAAAUGAGGUGCGGUCUAAAGAUGAUAUACGGUGCCACUUUCUCCUGUAGAGCUCCUACAUGCCAUCCACAAGUUGCAUUUUUUUUGAGAGAUAUGCGUUGCACUGCAAAUCUUCUGUACAAUGCCUGCAACAGUAGCUGGAGGUGAACGUGCCUUCAGUAAGCUGAAACUUCCAAAGAACAAUCUAAGAUCUGCAAUGUGCCAAGGCAGGUUGAACAGCCUUGCCACCCUUUCAAAUGAAAACCAGUUAGCUAGAAAAUGUAAUUUUAAAGACAUUAUAAACAAGAAGGCUUGAUGCUGGGCUCUUGGUGCAGGGUAAUAAUCUCUGAGUUUUGUUUACAGGGAACAAACACAAGGGCAAAUGCCUUAACCUGUUCUACCCAAGCCUGCCCGGGGACGGGCAAAAUACUGUUUCAGAGUAUGUUCUGCUAUGGUUUGUCUCGUGUGGAACUUACUCAGGAAUGAACCACAUAAUGUCUUGACACUACAGUUGCAGUCUCACAGAUGCUUGCUCUCUGUAGGUACCACAUUUAUGCCUGCAGUCCACAUAGUUCAGGAAUUGUUUUUAUUUUGGGUAUGUUAUUUAGGCAUAUAUUUAGGAAUUAUGGGCAGUAGAGGGUUAGCCUUGUUUAUAAGAAUUGGUAAUCAAUUAUUUAAUCUUAAACAUGGAUCAUUGGUAAUUUCUUAAUUGAAACUGACUACAAUACUGAAUAUUAAAAAAUAAGUCCCCAAUUGUUUAGUUAUUUAUAAUAAAGCAUCAUAAAAAUCUCA